GCAGUGAGGAAUAUUGGACAAUGGGCGCAAGCCUGAUCCAGCCAUGCCGCGUGCAGGAUGACGGUCCUAUGGAUUGUAAACUGCUUUUAUACGAGAAGAAACACUACUUCGUGAAGUAGCUUGACGGUAUCGUAAGAAUAAGGAUCGGCUAACUCCGUGCCAGCAGCCGCGGUAAUACGGAGGAUCCAAGCGUUAUCCGGAAUCAUUGGGUUUAAAGGGUCCGUAGGCGGUUUAGUAAGUCAGUGGUGAAAGCCCAUCGCUCAACGGUGGAACGGCCAUUGAUACUGCUGAACUUGAAUUAUUAGGAAGUAACUAGAAUAUGUAGUGUAGCGGUGAAAUGCUUAGAGAUUACAUGGAAUACCAAUUGCGAAGGCAGGUUACUACUAAUUGAUUGACGCUGAUGGACGAAAGCGUGGGUAGCGAACAGGAUUAGA
rnacentral:rRNA from 1 species